rnacentral:rRNA from 1 species
UACGAAGGGGGCUAGCGUUGCUCGGAAUCACUGGGCGUAAAGCGCACGUAGGCGGCUUCUUAAGUCAGGGGUGAAAUCCUGGAGCUCAACUCCAGAACUGCCUUUGAUACUGAGAAGCUUGAGUCCGGGAGAGGGAUGCGGAAUUCCAGGUGUAGCGGUGAAAUGCGUAGAUAUCUGGAGGAACACCGGUGGCGAAGGCGGGUCUCUGGGCCGUAACUGACGCUGAGGAGCGAAAGCGUGGGGAGCGAACAGG